rnacentral:rRNA from 1 species
AACUAUAACGGUCCUAAGGUAGCGAAAUUCCUUGUCAGGUAAGUUCUGACCCGCAUGAAAGGCGUAAUGAUUUGGGCACUGUCUCAACAGCCCGCCCGGCGAAAUUGUAGUACCGGUGAAGAUGCCGGUUACCCGCGACAAGACGGAAAGACCCCAUGGAGCUUUACUGUAGCCUAAUAUUGGGUUUCGAUGUUGCAUGCACAGGAUAGAUGGGACACUGGGAAGCACGGGCUUUGGCCUGUGUGGAGUGGCCGUUGGGAUACCAUCCUUGCGAUAUUGGAAUUCUAACCUGCGCCUUUGAAUCAAGGCGGGGGACAUUGUUAGGUGGGCAGUUUGACUGGGGCGGUCGCCUCCUAAAAAGUAACGGAGGCGUUCAAAGGUUCGCUCAGCUUGAACGGAAAUCAAGCAAGAGAGUGCAAACGCAGAAGCGAGCCUAACUGCGAGACUGACGGGUCGAGCAGUAACGAAAGUUGGAGUUAGUGAUCCGGUGGUAUGUGAGUGGAAAUGCCAUCGCUCAACGGAUAAAAGUUACCCUGGGGAUAACAGGCUGAUCUCCCCCAAGAGUCCACAUCGACGGGGAGGUUUGGCACCUCGAUGUCGGCUCAUCGCAUCCUGGGGCUGAAGUAGGUCCCAAGGGUUGGGCUGUUCGCCCAUUAAAGCGGUACGCGAGCUGGGUUCAGAACGUCGUGAGACAGUUCGGUCCCUAUCUGUCGUGGGCGCAGGAUAUUUGAUGGGAGCUGUCCCUAGUACGAGAGGACCGGGAUGGACGUACCUCUGGCGCACCAGUUGUUCUGCCAAGGGCAUAGCUGGGCAACUAUGUACGGAUCGGAUAAACGCUGAAAGCAUCUAAGCGUGAAGCCGACCCAAAGAUAAGAUAUCCCACUGAUUUGAUCAGGUAAGACCCCUUGAAGACUACAAGGUUGAUAGGCAUGACGUGUAAGUGGAGUGAUCCAUUCAGCGAGCAUGUACUAAUAGGUCGAGGGCUUGACCAC